AGCGGCAUGGUGUAUGGUUGCACGCGGGGUCUUACUGAGUCGUGGAUAAGGGCCUUAUUAAGGCUAUAACCCCCGAGGUCCUUGUUCGAUUCAAGGUGCCGCUC